CCAUUAACCAUGUAUUUCCUAUUCAUGGUUGGCUUCUCUGUCACUUUUUCCUUACUAACAAUCCAUUGUCUUACUGAUCCUUAGGAACAAUUGAGUGGUCAUAUCUAUUUCUGUACCAUUUUUGGGUUCAUUCAUUUCAAAUGAUUUAGGUAAGGUAAAGGUAUAAUAAGUAACUGAUCAUUCCUCAAUUUUUUGGUUGUUUUGAGGGAUUUCGUCUCUCCUUUUACCGGAAUUAAUAUUUAGCAGGGAUUAGAACUUUGAUUUUGUCAUUUGUUUGCAGGAGAAGAAAAGACCAAAUGGAAACAACAACAAGGUUUUUGUUAUACUUUGAUGGAACAGUGGAGGAAAAAAACAGGAGCAUUACAAGUUUAAAAUAUGCUUUUAAUUUGCUUCGAUGGUAUGUUGUAUUUAUAUACAUUAUUUCUAUUCGUUUUUACUUUGAACCUUGAUGUAUGCAUUCUUAACUAUAUUAGUUAAAUGAUUUGUAUUUUA